AAGGCAUGAUAUGGGCACUUUCUAAGCAAUUCCAUAAAUAUCUCCCAAGCUUCGUAUAUGGAUUCUCUAUUUAAUUGAGUGAAUGAUGUGAUAUCAUUUCUAAGAUU